rnacentral:lncRNA from 1 species
UUACCAGCUAGUGAAGCUCCCUUUUCUUUAUUUGCUUUAUUUUUAUUUUUAUUUUUUUUUUGUGAAAGAAGAAGCUAUGUGAUUUGAUGAGGGGUAUGUUGUCAAGGCCUUUAGAGCUCCAAAUGCUACGUUUUGUGUGUCAAAUGAAAGAUAUUUGAGUCUAUUUUCCAGGAAAUAAAACCUCAUCUCAUUUAGAGCUCUGUAGAAAACGUUAUGGAUAAAACAUUGAGCAAAGGUCAGAGCUGUCCUAUUCCAACGUGAAUUUUCGUAUUUACUGUAGCAGUUUCGUUUUUACUGUUUUAAUUUCAUUUUAAUUUUUCCGCAUUCACCACGCAAACCUUUCACAAACCCAACCCCCCCC